UGGGGAAUAUUGCACAAUGGGCGCAAGCCUGAUGCAGCCAUGCCGCGUGUGUGAAGCAGGCCUUCGGGUUGUAAAGCACUUUCAGCGGGGAGGAAGGCGGUGAGGUUAAUAACCUCACCGAUUGACGUUACCCGCAGAAGAAGCACCGGCUAACUCCGUGCCAGCAGCCGCGGUAAUACGGAGGGUGCAAGCGUUAAUCGGAAUUACUGGGCGGAAAGCGCACGCAGGCGGUCUGUCAAGUCGGAUGUGAAAUCCCCGGGCUCAACCUGAGAACUGCAUACGAAACUGGAAGGCGAGAGUCUUGGAGAGGGGGGUAGAAUGCCAGGUGUAGCGGUGAAAUGCGUAGAGAUCUGGAGGAAUACAGGUGGCGAAGGCGGACCCCUGGACACAGACAGACGCUCAGGUGCGAAAGCGUGGGGAGCAAACAGG
rnacentral:rRNA from 1 species